CAGUCGCCGCGGUAAUACAGAGGGUGCGAGCGUUAAUCGGAGUUACUGGGCGUAAAGCGCGCGUAGACGGUUUUGUAAGUCAGAUGUGAAAUCCCUGGGCUCAACCUGGGAACUGCAUUUGAAACUGCAUGGCUAGAGUAUCGAAGAGGGAAGUGGAAUUUCCGGUGUAGCGGUGAAAUGCGUAGAUAUCGGAAGGAACACCAGUGGCGAAAGCGACUUCCUGGUCGAAUACUGACGUUCAUGUGCGAAAGCGUGGGGAGCAAACAGGAUUAGAUACCCGAGUAGUCCCUGUCUCUUAUAC
rnacentral:rRNA from 1 species